UUGGCGGUGCUUUAGACCCCCCUAGAGGAGCCUGUUCUAGAACCGAUAACCCCCGAUUAACCUCACCCUCUUUUGCUUUUUCCGCCUAUAUACCGCCGUCGUCAGCUUACCCUGUGAAGGACAAAUAGUAAGCAUAACUAGUAAAACCCAAAACGCCAGGUCGAGGUGUAGCACAUGAGAGGGGAAGAAAUGGGCUACAUUUCCUGCCCCAGGAAAUCACGAAUAAUGUGAUGAAACACACAUUAGAAGGAGGAUUUAGCAGUAAGUGGAGAAUAGAGAGCCCCACUGAAACCGGCCCUGAAGCGCGCACACACC
rnacentral:rRNA from 1 species